ACUUUGUGAAUGCCGUUACAGCGUGUUUUAAGCUUGUUUGUCGUCUUAAUCUUCAAUGGGCUUCUGCGUGUUUCAAAGGACAGAUUUGGAAAGAGGGAGAGAAUUUCUUUCUGCUUCACCAGGAGAGGUAUAUUUGGGACUGCCGCUCUCUCACACACGCAUUUUGGAAAUCGGAGCAGAAAGGGGCAUUGGGUACAAUGUCAGCCGCAGACUAGGCAUCCACGUCACAGACGUCACAGACGCAAGUGCUAAGGCCCGCAGCUGGGGUCGCCACUGGACUGCCCACACAGCCCUGAGGUUGGAGCUGCUUUUGAGCGACUGAAGGAGCAAGUCCGUGUUCCCUUCCUUUAUGGGUUUCCAACAGGUUUGACCAGCAGCCUCCAGGGAAAACUGGCCUGAAUAGCAUGAUGAGUGUCUAAAAGCCCUACUUCCUGUCUGAAGACAAUUAGAAACUUGACCUCUUUGAUUAUCCUCAAUGUUCUCUGAAACUCCAGUCUUGAAGCCUGAAGAAGUAGAGGAGAUGGCUCUAACUGUCUACCUGCUUGUUCUGCAGGGCACUGUCCUCCCACCAAGGCUCCUGUAAUCACAUGGGUUCCUAUGUUCCAUAUUGCCAGACUCUGAGGUAGAACCAGCCCCAUUGUGAUUCCCAGCCCCACCUCACCCCCCACCCCCCCACCUCUAUUAAAGAAGGCUUUGCUAAAGUUUGGGAUGAUGGAAGAGGGAAAGUAGUUCAUUUUCAACAACCACAUCCCUCUGCAUAGCCAAGACCCUCCUCCUCUUCUCCAGGAGCUACAAAUUCACUCCUCCCCAACUCCUGAUCACCCUCAAAUGCAACAGAUCUACCACAGGCACUCCAAACUACCAGCAUGCUUAACCAAAGACCUUCCUAGUAAGAUUCUCUCUCCUUGGAAAACAGCUCUCUGGUUAAACUGUAAAGCAGUGGUUCCCGUAAGUGAGGGGCUGCAGUGGUUCCAUGGAGCCUCAUGUGGUAUCAGGCUGCUAUAGCUCAUUCACUUCCUGAAUGUUCAGUUGGAGCAAGUUUGGGAGAACAUUCAUGGAUCCAGGGAGCAGGAGGUUUUGAACCUCAAGUGGGAGAUCUACGGUGGACACCAAUCUCGAAAACUCCAAAGAGAUUUUUUUGGGGAAGCCUGUCUCUAUUCUUGUCUGGAAAUCUUACCUAUGUGUGGUACACACCUGUGGCUUUUUGCCUAGCAUCUUUCACUUCAAAAUCCCUCUCACAUGCUGACUGGGGCCUUCAAUCUCUUGCCCUAAUGUGUCAGGGCAUGGAGGUACAGCUAUGGAAUCAAACAUUCUCUUGGCCACUCUGAUUGCCCAUCAAGUACAAAGAUCCAUUAUCUGCUGGAGCAUGUUCUUGCCUCUGAACUCUAGCUUUUGGACAUCAGCACCUCAGGCCUGUAAGAGAUGAGGCAAAUGUCUGAGUAUUUGUGAUGUGGCAGGGUGUCUGCGUGGGUCACUUGCGGCAAUACUUUCAUAUCUUCGAACUCACUGCUCAUGACUUCUGCCCCCAGGGCACAAACCUCAAGAGCAAAUGGUUUGGUGAUGCCCCGUGGCCCCUCCCUCUACUGGAUUCUGCCACUCUUCUGCCCUCCAUCUUGCUCACCAAUGUUCUUAUCCCCCUUUCCUUGAGGGUCAAGUGAUCUAGUAUACAUAAUCUAGUAUACGUGAUCUAGUAUACAUGAUCUAGUAUACGCUGAUCUAGUAUAGAGCUCCCACCUUUCAGUCAUGUGAAUGGCAUCCUUGCUGGUUUGUUUGACUGUUUAUGGGACAAGGUUUCCCAACUACGAAGUCCUCCUGUCUCAGCUUCCCUGAUGCUGGGAUUACAGGUGUGUACACUAUGUGCAGCCACUUAUUUUUUUUCCUUUAAAUUACUAUAGCUGCUUCCAGUCUAAUCUUACAGUUCCUUAAUGUGUUUCUUUAAGUAAACUCACUGCUUAAGCAUUUUAUUUUAAAAGAAAACCUUACACCGUAACUUUCGAUUCGAAUCCAUGCUGUAAGUAGAUUUUUAAAAAACCCAACAGGUAGGAUUGUCGUCAGCAGUAACUAAGGUUGUUCUCUGACAAAAUACUAAAGAUUUGUCAGUAACAAACCUUGGCUGCUCGUCAUUUGAGACAUGAUUGAAAGGCAAUGCUUUCGCUGGCUCACUGGUGAAUGUGCUGCCCACGGUCUAUCUAAAUCAGGGAAGGGCUGCUAAUGAACAAUUGAUAGUUAUGCACUUAUGUUUGUUUGGCUCCUGUUCUGAACCCAUCUCCCUUGCCUAACUAGUCUGUACACCCCUCUGUCGGGGAGAAUCAGGCUUGACCUCUCACUAGGCAGUAGCUCCACCCACACAGCUCCCUGUCCCAGGCUUCAGGAAAUGCUUGUGUUCAGCCCAGCGUGCAACUUAGCUUCGGAAGGCUGUGCUAAUGAUGCGUUUUUAGAGCUGUCGAGACUAUUACUUUGUCCUCAAGAGUAACUGGGUGAUGGUGUUGGGGAAGCUUUCUUGUGCAGUAGAUGGAGAAAAUACAGACACCCACCACUGGACAUCGUGCAGAGAGUGAGAGACUUUGGAACAGCCAAUCCUCAGUGAGAUGUCUCCAUCACAUCUUCCCCUCAAGGAGCUGGGGAAAUUUGCUGAGGAGGAUAUGAGAAAUUGUAAGAUCCAGUGGGAAUGGAAGACGCCAAGGGAGCUUUAUGUGCCUUCGAGACACAGCAGGACCGGGACACAUAUGAACCCACAGAGACUGUGGCAGCAAGCAUAGGGCUGGCACAGGGUCAAGCAGAUGGGGUCUCAGAGCUGAGAGGGGAAGUGUGCAUAAGCUUCCAUCUGUGACCAAGAAGCCAUCUCCAAUGGACAACCAUAAGCAAAGGGAAAAACAAUGGAGUCUUACUGGGAAUAUCAACCACACUUAAAGAUGGGCCCCGUGACCAACAGCAGAUAGAUGGUCAACUCAAAAUGAACCCAGUGGCAUUUUUGGAGAUUCUUUUUUUACCUCAUAAUGUUUUUUAAUUUUUACUUUACUGGUAUUUUGCUUAUAUAUUAUAGUUUCUGAUUCUGUGUAGUAUGGGUUUUCUGUAUGUGUAUGUGGGGGUGCAUGUUUGUGCAUGUGCCUCUAUGUGCUCCCACGUUCUUUCUUUGCUUUUCUUUUUCUCUGUUUGUUUGCCUGUUUGUUUUCUAAAAAGAGAGAGAAAGAAGGUCUGAAGUGGAUAGAAGAAGGGGAGGAUCUGGGAGGAGAUGGUGGAAGGGAAAACUAUUAUCAGAAUAUAUUGUUUAAAAACGUAUUUUCAAUAAAAAGGGUUAUUAGAUGAUGGUAAAUCUAACUCAUCAGAAAUGAGCAACCUCUCUCUAAACAGCAGGGACUAUGCUUCUGGAAGAGGGCCUCAGAUCCUGGCCAGACCUCAAUGUUCUCAGACACGAUGAUUUCUACUUCUCUUUGGCAGUUCCAUGAAUCAAAGCAAGCCUAAGGAGACAAUCUGGCUACUCUCCUGUGAUGAGAUUGUAUUGAUAGGUGGCCUGGAGCUUCAGUGCCUCUGCUUAAAGCUUCACCCCCAGCGGUUGCCACUCUUCGGAGGCAGUCCAAGGUCUAUGGGGUAGGGACACUGGAGGAAGUUGGUCACUGGGGUGCCCCGGAAUGCUAUAUUUUGUCCUGGCUUUCUGGAUGAUGCCCUCUACCGUUCUUGAUGCAGGGGAGCAGCUUCGCUGUGCUCCAUGAGCACCCAUGAUGUUCUGCCUUCCCACAGCUCAGAGACAAUGCAGCCUCUGCUACAAGGAGCCAAAAUAAGCUGCCCUUUCUCCUAAAUUGUCAGGUAUUGCAUCACAGCGACAGCCAGCCAACCUAACACCCUGGAAUUCUCAACUAGAUCUUGAAGUAAGCUCUCUCUUUUGUGCAUAUUUUAUGCUGAUAUCAAGAUUCAGAAGAAAAGGUACACGUUGUGGUGAGUGGGUUUAUCUUGUUAGGUUCCUGGAGGAGCCUCAAGUUUCCUCUCACUGCCCUUUUGUAUUGUUGAGUGGCCUGGUUGGAUAGGUGGGGGUUUAGGCAACAAAUAUCAUACUUAAAGAACAUUAAUACUUUCUAUGAAGUAGAAGAACUCAGAACACUAGGCUUCUAUACUAGGUUUCUUAGACCAGGAAGUAGGAAAUACAUAGGUAGGAAAUAUAUACAUAUAUAUAUGUGUACAUGCACAUGUGUGUGUGUGUAUAUAUGUGUGUGUGUGUGUACAUACAUAUAGGCACACGUACAUACAUUUAUAUAUUUGCAUAUAUAAAAUAUGUAUUACAUAUUCAUGUACAUAUAUACAUACAUAUGUAUGUGCAUAUAUACAUAUCUUUUUAAUUAAUUAGCUUGAUACUUAACAUUAAGGGCAGUAUCCUAGAUUGCAGUAGUUAAAACUUCAGCAGACUCUCAAUGAAUCCCCAACAGGAAUGAUUUGUUAGCAAGAGGCGAGAUCACCAGCGACACUUCAUUUCUGUAGAGUAAUGUAAACUAAUUAUGUACACCGUGGAGGCAAGGAUUGGUCCUGCAUGAGAAAUGGCAGACGAUUGCAUUAUAAAAGGAAAUAUUAAUUCACACAACAUAAAAUUAAAAUUGAUGACAAACUCCUUCCCGUUUUAAUUGUUCCAUUCUUUAAUCACUAUUGUCUCACGGCAGCAGACGCCACCUGCCUCAGGAGACACACAAACGCACUUGCCUGAAAGGACACUGAAAAAAGGCUA